AUCCCUUGAAAACUCUAAUUUUUCUGAAUUCGAAGUUAAAUUGAAGUUUUUAACUUGCAUCUGUUGAUGGGAUGCAGGCGAGUGACAGGUUUAAUAUCAAUUCACAGCUCGAGCAUUUACAGGCUAAAUAUGUGGGCACAGGCCACGCCGACUUGACUCGAUUGUGCAUACCCUUACGGCAAUCCUGUUUAUUUUCAACUUGUAUUAGGUAAUGUGUUACGUUUGUUGUUGAUGAUGUUCUCAAGUAUCUGGCGAAAACAAAAUUGAUUUACAGUGAAUGCCAAUCGGGAUAGCUACGCUUCUUAUAUUGGACAUUACCCGAUUCUGCCCUACUUCUCCGGCGGAAAACGAAUCUAUUGGGCGAGAGCGCUACAAUUUUAUGCAGAGACGGCAACAGGACGGGUAUGAAGCCAUUUGGGUGGAUUCGGGACCAGUCCCGCCGACUCCAGUCAUCGUCAAGUUACCUGAUUUUUGGGAUGCAAAAAACCUCUACUCAUUGUGAAGCCUAGUUCCAAGAGUUGUUUAAAAUUGUAUCCCUUGUAAAUUGUGUUUAAAGCAACUUUAUAUUUUUGCAACCCGGAAAGGAAAAAGGUGAUAGUUGUGAGACAAGAAAUUAUUGUAAAAAUCUAAUAAAAGGAAAACAUGUAACAAAAUUAGAUGGACAACUAACCAACUUGUAGGAAGUGACAACGUUUGGGUCACCUACUAUUUGUUUUAUGUUUCUUGUCAAGUGAAAGCAACAUCUCACACUCUUUGCA